AACGAACGCUGGCGGCAGGCCUAACACAUGCAAGUCGAACGCUGUAGCAAUACAGAGUGGCAGACGGGUGAGUAACGCGUGGGAACCUUCCCUGUGGUACGGAAUAGCUCAGGGAAACUUGAGGUAAUACCGUAUAAGCCCCUAGGGGGAAAGAUUUAUCGCCAUUGGAUGGGCCCGCGUCGGAUUAGCUAGUUGGUGAGGUAAUGGCUCACCAAGGCGACGAUCCGUAGCUGGUUUGAGAGAAUGACCAGCCACACUGGGACUGAGACACGGCCCAGACUCCUACGGGAGGCAGCAGUGGGGAAUAUUGGACAAUGGGCGCAAGCCUGAUCCAGCCAUGCCGCGUGAGUGACGAAGGCCUUAGGGUUGUAAAGCUCUUUUAGCAGGGACGAUAAUGACGGUACCUGCAGAAUAAGCUCCGGCUAACUUCGUGCCAGCAGCCGCAGUAA
rnacentral:rRNA from 1 species